GUUACUGUGGCAGAGCUUGGCUAUGCAAAAGACUUAAACUCUUUCCUCAGGGGUUCAAAUCCCCUCACUAACU
rnacentral:tRNA from 1 species